CCUACGGGAGGCAGCAGUGGGGAAUAUUGCACAAUGGGGGAAACCCUGAAGCAGCGACGCCGCGUGAGUGAAGAAGGAUUUCGGAAUGUAAAGCUCUAUCAGCAGGGGAGAAAAUGACGGUACCUGAUUAAGAAGCACCGGCUAACUACGUGCCAGCAGCCGCGGUAAUACGUAGGGGGCAAGCGUUAUCCGGAUUGACUGGGUGUAAAGGGAGCGUAGACGGCAGCGCAAGUCUGAAGUGAAAUGCCGGGGCUUAACCCCGGAACUGCUUUGGAAACUGUGCAGCUAGAGUGCAGGAGAGGUAAGUGGAAUGCCUGGUGUAGCGGUGAAAUGCGUAGAUAUUAGGAGGAACACCAGUGGCGAAGGCGGCUUACUGAACUGUAACUGACGUUGAGGCUCGAAAGCGUGGGGAGCAAACAGGAUUAGAUACCCUUGUAGUC
rnacentral:rRNA from 1 species